UACGAAGGGGGGCUAGCGUUGCUCGGAAUCACUGGGCGUAAAGCGCACGUAGGCGGCUUGUUAAGUCAGGGGUGAAAUCCUGGAGCUCAACUCCAGAACUGCCUUCGAUACUGGAGAGCUUGAGUCCGGGAGAGGUGAGUGGAACUGCGAGUGUAGAGGUGAAAUUCGUAGAUAUUCGCAAGAACACCAGUGGCGAAGGCGGCUCACUGGACACGUAUUGACGCUGAGGUGCGAAAGCGUGGG
rnacentral:rRNA from 1 species